UCCUGGAAAGCCCAUUGGCCCCAAUCCGCACGCACGCCCGCACCCCUCCCUCCUCCCUCGCUCGUCUCAGCCGCCACCCCACGAACCCUAGCCGCCACCCCCACGAACCCUUAGCCGCUCCCUUCCUUCAUCCGUCCUCCUCCCUCUCCCUGGUACGAGCCCCUCCCUGGCCGCCGCGAGCUCCUCCUCCUCCGUUCUCACAUGCUCCAACCCGAGCACGCUGGCGGAGACACGCACCGCGAGGCCCCGGAGCAGUUCAGCCAGUACAGAGCCCCUCCGUACAAGAGGAAACCCGUGGCCAAUCCAGCCAACAAUGACGACGCGUAGGAGAGCUCGACCUUGAUGAGGAAAGCAGCGGAGUUGGUGCAGCGGCGAAGGUCAGGGUCGGCCGUGGAGGGAGGCUUGAUGGCCGAAGCAGCAGGAGCAAGAAGGUUGAGGUGGUUCAGAAACUGAAUGCAUAUAAGAAUCGAGGACCUUCACAGUGGAUUCAUGAUGAUGGUCAUCUACCGAGGCAUCAAGAUGAGCACAUCAUCUUGGACAAGCAGAUGCUAAUUUCUUCUCGCAUCCCGAGUACAUAUGUGAGGCUAUGGGAGUACUUUUUCAUGUGAUGAUGGGAGGAAUGAAUUGUACCAUGUGAACACAAUCGCUGGUAGUUUCGAAGGGAUAAGCUGGUCAAUGCAGGAAAAUCUGAAAGAAAGCGACUAAAAUCAACAUUUGAAGUUCAUCGAAAAAUGAAGAGGAUCGUGCCUUUCUGUUGGAAUUGCUUUUCUGGUUUAAGCAAUCAUUCAGGAUGGAAAACUGCCUGUUACAUGUAGUCUUCAGAACCUGUGCUGAAAUGACGCUUCUUUGGUUGGAAAGUGUCCAAUUUUGCAAAACUUUUGGCUGUCUCGAAUAGUUUUCAAGUUGUUUCAGUGACAUCAGUUCUGCUAAGAGGUUUUAAAUGUGAACCUAAAUACCUGUUACCAUCAGUGACCAAACUUGUGGUGUGCAAUAUUCACCUAACUUAAAACAGCUUGCGCCCUGUCUUUUAAUUUACCAUCCAUCCGUCAAGCGAGCUCAAGCAUAAAUUCUGAACAUUCAGACAAUCAACCAAGAUGCAGGUGCAUUAGAGCAUGGAUAAGGCAAAGCUCCCAAAGAGUAAUUGAUAUUUCCUCCACUGCUGAUGACGAAAACAACUGAAAAAGGCCAGAAGUAUCAACCUAUACUUGCCUACAUUUACCAACUCUUCUCCCUGUACAAAAAUAAAUAAAUAAAUAAAUAAAUAGAUGUACACAGGGGCGUUUAAGUUGACAUACAUGCCUGCCCAUGAACAAGUCUAUUGAUACGUGUUUUUUUUCAAAGCAUGAGUGUUAGUGGGUCUUUUUUUUGAGAGAGUGUUAGUGGGUCUCUGCGCUAUUUGCAUGCAUGAUUUCAAAUGGGUCUGUGCUAUCAAAUUAAAAUGUGUAUAUACAUCUUAUUGUAGACAACAAUUCAUUAUGUUUUUUAUUAAAGGAAAUUAAACCAUGGAUAUUUGUUUCA